rnacentral:rRNA from 1 species
UGGGGAAUAUUGGACAAUGGACGAAAGUCUGAUCCAGCAACGCCGCGUGAGCGAUGAAGGCCUUCGGGUCGUAAAGCUCUGUCAGAUGGAACGAAAGAAGCUAACCUAACACGUUAGCUGUUGACGGUACCAUCAAAGGAAGCACCGGCUAACUCUGUGCCAGCAGCCGCGGUAAUACAGAGGGUGCUAGCGUUGUUCGGAAUUACUGGGCGUAAAGCGAACGUAGGUGGUUUAGUGUGUCUGGUGUGAAAGCCCACGGCUCAACCGUGGAAGUGCGCCAGAAACUGCUAGACUGGAGUGUGGGAGAGGAUGGUAGAAUUCUCAGUGUAGAGGUGAAAUUCGUAGAUACUGGGAGGAACACCGGUGGCGAAGGCGACCAUCUGGACCAUAACUGACAUUG